rnacentral:rRNA from 1 species
GUCUAUGGCCAUACUAUCCUGAACACACCCAAUCUCUUCUGAUCUCAAAAGCUUAAGCAGGAUCAGGCCUGGUUAGUAUUUGGACAGGAGACUAACAACUUAUUUCCCAACAGAAAGCCUAAAAGCCAAGAAA